AAAAAAGUUUCAUUCCAAUUUGCUGAAAUUAACAACAUUUUAGUAGAUAUAACUGCACAGUUCUCUAAUGAUCCAGAUGAAGGUUUUACACAACAUAAAAUUUCAGAUGAACUUAAUGUUUUGAAAAGAAAAAUUGCAAAUAUAGAUAUCCAAUACAUCGCUUUUGUAUUAGUCAGUUUUAUCUUUAUAGUUUAUAUGUUAUAUAUUGUUACAAUAUUUCUUUUGAAUUGUCAUAAACAUUUUCAAUGUUUCUUUCACAUUGUUUCUUUUUAGGUAAAACAGUUAUCAUUAAUAAGCGGUAAAAAAUCGAGUAGAUACAAUUAAAAAUAUUUUGCUCUUACUACCAACAGACACUAUUUUGUCCGAAUACAGCAUGAAUGGUCUAAAGAAGAAAAAAAAGUUUAAAGAUUUGACAAGUCUAUGUAAUGCUGAAACUGCUUUAAAGUCAAAUAAAAACAAAAUGGAUGCCAUCCAUCCAACUUAUUGGGAGAGUAAUUAGGAAUUCUUCUGACCGAUUAAAGAAAACAUCCACUAAUAUGAAUAUCGAUCAAUGAUCGGCUUAA